AAGAAAAGUCUAUAUUAUAAUUCCAUCCUCCAUAUAUAUGUAUUGCAUAAACAUUGGAAGAUCAUAUAAUCCAGAAACUAAGAAGAAGAAAAAUACUUACGGCCCUUUAACCUUCAUUCAUUGCGGAACAACUGUGAUCCACCAUGACUAGCAAAUCUGCAGCAGCAACACAGAAAAAACAAGAAACGCAGCAGAACAGUAGCACUCGAAACAACGGGGCAGCAGCAGUUAAACCAAAGAAAAAAGGCAUAAAACGUAAGAUCCUUUGGAAAGUUACCAAAAUGGUUAUAAGACAUUCAGUCUACCAUGCUAUAGGAAUGCCUCAUCUCAGUUUCAUGGAGCUCGCCGGCCAUCUACUCAACUGAUCGAUUGGGAGGUUAUUGGUUGCUCAUCGUUGUACUAAGAUUCAUGGUGUACUUAGUCUGAUCAAUUGGGGAGACAUUGGUUGAACGUUGCCAUACUAAGAUUCAUGGUGUACUUAUUUAACAAUCAAUUGUCUUGAUAAUAUCAUACUAUUAUGCAUGAGUGAUUGA